rnacentral:rRNA from 1 species
UACAGAGGUCUCAAGCGUUGUUCGGAUUCAUUGGGCGUAAAGGGUGCGUAGGCGGCGCGGUAAGUCGGGUGUGAAAUCUCGGAGCUUAACUCCGAAACUGCAUUCGAUACUGCCGUGCUUGAGGACUGGAGAGGAGACUGGAAUUUACGGUGUAGCGGUGAAAUGCGUAGAUAUCGUAAGGAAGACCAGUGGCGAAGGCGGGUCUCUGGACAGUUCCUGACGCUGAGGCGCGAAGGUCAGGGGAGCAAAUGGG